rnacentral:rRNA from 1 species
GAUGAACGCUGGCGGCGUGCUUAACACAUGCAAGUCGAACGAUGAAGCCCAGCUUGCUGGGUGGAUUAGUGGCGAACGGGUGAGUAACACGUGAGUAACCUGCCCUUAACUCUGGGAUAAGCCUGGGUAACUGGGUCUACUACCGGGUAGGAGCGUCCACCGCAUGGUGGGUGUUGGAGAGAUUUAUCGGUUUUGGAUGGACUCGCGGCCUAUCAGCUUGUUGGUGAGGUAAUGGCUCACCAAGGCGACGACAGGUAGCCGGCCUGGGAGGGUGACAGGCCACGCUGGGAUUGAGAUACGGCCCAGACUCCUACGCGAGGCAGCAGUGGAGAAGAUUGUACAACGGGCUCAAGCAUGAUGCAGCGAAGCCGCGUGGGGGAUGUCGGCCUUCGGGUUGGAAACCUCUUUCCUUAGGGAAGAAGCGAAAGUGACGGUACCUGCAGAAGAAGCACCGGCUAACUACGUG